GUUUUCGGGAGCGGUGCGGGCCUUGGGGGUGGGAGGAGGAGGGUGUGCUGCCCUGCGUUCCCGGGCGGCGUUGCGUAACGAGGGCUCCGGGCUGGGGGCGUAGACGGCGUUGAAGAAGCAGGACCUCGCGCACGAGCCGGGCAGAGCCAUGCCCGCUCGCCUUCCCUUGGCUCGGCCGCGGGGCGUGGCUGCCUUGGCAGCACCGGAUCAUAAUGGUUUCUUCGCGCGGUGAGAAGGGAGGAGGCCCACCCGCAGCCUGAGGGGCCGUUAGGCUGCGGGCAGCGCCCGCACCGAAGGGCGGGUAGAGGAAGGUCCUCCGUGCCCGGAUCCCGCUGCCCUCGCGUCACAGCGGUUAGUUCCAUCCGCCGCAGGAAAGCCGAGGCAAGGCGCGGCGGCGCCAGCGCCCGUUCAGGGACUUUCCCCUCAUAGGGGUGGAGCGACCGUUGGCCCGCCUGCGCCAACGGACGAGCGCGUGGCGGGGCGCGAGGAGAGGGGCGGGGCGGAUCCGCUUCGCACGCGCCCCUCCCCGCGCCUCACUGACAGGUGGAGCUGUGCCCCGUCUGUCGUCACGUGACGGGGGGUGGGGAGGAGAUACCGCCUCGCGAGAGCGCUGUGACGAAGCUACCGCGGCCCCGCAGGCGUGAGGGAGGGGAGGGGGUGCGGCUGCCGGCUGCCAGCGGAGGGCUUGGCGGGGCCAUCCAGUAGGGGAGCGGGAAGGAGCUUUACGGAGCGUUUGAUCUAACACGGGGAUGAUUAACAAAGAUGGACAACAGCAUUAUAGUCACUUUGGGCAGCUGAAGCUGACCACGUAAGUGCAGCAUACCAAGUCAGGCGAGGAAGGGGCAUAAAAUUUGCCCUCUGAAAAAAAAAGAGAAGAAACACCCCUCACUUGCAGAAAGAAAAUUCUGACUAGGAAAUACCAGGGAGCUUGCAUGAAAAGCAGUAAGACAAACAGAUCUGAUCUCUAUGUGGCCCAUGUCAAAAUUCCUCUGGAUGGCAGCAAGACUGGGAUCCAACUGGAAUCACGCAGAUUCAGCUGCCAGGAAACACGAGUAACCUGUGCGCAUGACUACCUUUGUGUUUACACUUCGUGCAGCUUCCAGCAAUGCACCUCUUUUUGGGACAGGGCAGUUUUUAAGUCUGAUCCUCUCAGUGCGCUGCUGGUUGUGCACCCACACAAACUGGGGAACCAGCUGGACACAGAUAUCACCAACUCUUUCUGAGAUGUGUUGCAGAUGGAGCACAGAGACUCUCAGACUCUAAGAUGAUAUAUGAAUCCUGAGGCAAAAGAAGACCUGAACCCAAACAAUCAACUGGGGCUUUCACCAUCUGACCAACUUCCUCUACAGUCUUACUGGAUGAUAAUGAAAAAUAAGUGGUUCAUUUCACCAAUAAUCUAAUAAUACAGAAUUUGUAUUAUAUGCAUAUGCGUACACAUGCAAAAGAUAGAAAUUUGUUUGUAUUUUUUUAGGUACUAUUUAUGACCUAAUGACUUUUUAUGUAAUAUAUGCACUGCUUCUGUAGAUACAAAUUAUAGAUAGACAUAUGCUUUUAAAAUGUGCUAGUAUGACACUUGUAUGACAUGUCUCUCAAUGAAGAAUUAAUAUUUCUUACUUUUUUUCUCCUUUCAUUUCUCAUUGCAAUGCACAAGAAAGCAGUUUCAGCUUAUUUUGGCGGACGUGCACUUAGAAAUGUGUAGCGUUUAUUUGCAGUACUGCUCUCACAAAAUGUUGCCAUGCUGUGGCACUUCUUUGAAGUUCUUCUCUGAAAGGUUCUUUGCAAAGGCUGUGUAGGAGGCUUUGCAACCGGGAGGUUUGGAAUUGUUUUUCUGAAAAUUAUUCUGAAAAGUCUGUCCUUUUCAAGGUCUUGGCCAGGUGCACAGCUAUUUUCCUCUUUCCAUUUCCUUUAACUCUGCAGCACAGAAUAAUAGGCCCUAUCUGAAAUUUUAUAUAUGUAAUGCAUUGCAGACUCUGCCACAUACUUCCCUUUUCAGCAGGCUUAUUGAACACCAAGGCACUUGCAGUGAUUCUUCUGUCAGCCUAACAUUCAGUGUCUCAGAGAUCAGCCAAACGUAGGGACCAGUUCUACCACCAUCACGCUCAUGGUGCUUUUUUUACAUUACAUUCCCAAACGUCAGCGGAUCUCUCAUAAAUUGCUAUGAUCUGUGUCAAGAUAGAGUUCUCAGCAUGUGUCUCAUGCUCACCUGCAUCACCAAACAGCCUCACAAGGAAGGUGUCUCCAUGAAUACUGACCAGCCAGCAACAGCACUGCAGCCAGUCCCCUGAGAGAAAGCUCCCUCCAGUUCUGACCACUGCCACAGAAAGGAGAAUGAGAGCCCCCAACGCACUCCAAUGCUAUUCUUCAUGGGAUCUCAGCUCAUCACGACACAGAAGAAGAAACACUAGAAACUGACUUGUAACCAGUGCUCUUCACUCAGUGUUGUCAAGCACAUGUGUCACUGGGCUGGUAGAUUAAACCUGUGUCCAUAAUGAAGAGGAGGAGCCAAGUGGUCCACCAGUAAAGAUCCCAGUCUGCUUCAAAUGUUGUUGGUUCCUUUCCUAAUGGAUGCCACAAAUAUCCUGCACAGAACACAGCACAGACCACGUUAAUGCAGCACACCAGGGUGGCAGUGGCACUCUUCUAAGGCUGUUCCUCCAGGAAGCUCACCAACAUCCUUGCAGGAUCAGUCUGAAGCUACGCUUUGACACUUUGCCUUUUGCAUAGAGAGGCGGCCCUAAGGUUUUUGCAUACAUUGAUACGUACAUGAAAAAGCAGAUACUUGCCCUAGUCCCAGGCACUUGCAGUAAAGAUCCAUAGAGAACUUGAAUAAUCAUAAUUUCUUAGUGCGUGAAGGAGUUCAGACUACAGAAAGAAGACAUUUCCGAGAAACAGAUUUUAUAGACUGAGCUGAACAGAUUUUUGGCAUUAUUUGUAAGCCAGUCAUUGUUAAGCCUUUGUACUUAGAAGAGCAAUUAUGACUCCUUUGGAAACAUCCUUAGUUGAACUCUUAAAAUAAUAAAAACACUCCUCCGUAAGACCACAUUAACAUAUGGUUUUCGUAAUGACAGCACAAACAAAUCACCCACUCAUCAAACACAUUUAGGAAGAAGACAGGAACAAACAGAGCAAAAAUUUUCUAAAGAUUACUUAGAGGUCCUGAUCAGUCAGGGAAAAAAAGAAAAGAAAAAAGUGAACUAAACUGAAUUCAGGUCCUGUCUAUAGGAUAUUGAAUACAGACAAAAUAUGCAACAUACAAAUAACCAAAAUCAAGAAUACCACUAAACUUUGUAAGGCAAAGUUUAUAGAUAUUAAGCUGCAAAACUGUAUUUCAAAAAAAUGUCAAGCUGUGGAUGCCUAGCUUCCUAGUUUACUUUUGAACGUUGGUGAUGCAUCAUCAGUAAGCAAGAAAGAGACAAGGUGUGUUUGCACCAGUGACCAGCUGGAAUACCUUUGCUGGACUUACCACCCCCCAGUACUUUGCAGGCAAGUCCCAGCCAAACCAUAGUCUUCACUACAUGCACUGCUUCAUCCCCAGGAGCAGCAGCAGGAACCUGCAUCCUUGAAGCACAUGUGCAUCUUCCUGGGGCUGAGCACCGGGAACAACUGGGCUACCAGCAGUGGCCAGCACAGCUCCCGUGCAGCUCCCUGUAACACCAUCAGCAUGACCUCAGUGCAGAGGAAAAGGAGAGCAAACAAGAUCCACAUUCAAAAUGGAGUUUGUAGUCUGACAGACACCCGGAG
rnacentral:lncRNA from 1 species